GUCCGACCUGCCCAGUGAACCCAUUUCAACGGCCGCGGUAUCCUAACCGUGCAAAGGUAGCAUAAUCACUUGUCCCCUAAAUAGAGACUUGUAUGAACGGUUAAAUGAGGGCUUAACUGUCUCCUGCAGCCAAUCAAUGAAAUUGAUCUCACAGUACAAACGCUGUAAUAUACCUAUAAGACGAAAAGACCCUGUGGAGCUUUAAAUACACCAUAUUAACCAACUCAACCGCUGUUAGUAUAAUAUAAAUUUUAAGUUGGGGCGACUAUGGAGUAAAACAAAACCUCCAUGUAACACGACUAAAACUCGUUAUAUCAGGCCGACAGGCCAAACAACAAACCUUUGACCCAGUCAAACUGACCAUCGAACCAAGUUACCCCAGGGAUAACAGCGCCAUCCCCUUAAAGAGUUCACAUCGACAAGGGGGUUUACGACCUCGAUGUUGGAUCAGGACACCCAAGUGGUGCAGCAGCUACUAAAGGUUCGUUUGUUCAACGAC
rnacentral:rRNA from 1 species